UAGACCUACAGCAGACAACUCUGAGCAUGAGGUGCAUUCUGUUGGAGGUCAGCGUGGCACUUCUUCUCUGAAAGAGUUAAUUGGUGAAGUUGGUGUCCAGUAUCAGGAGUUGUCACCCCAAGCGUUCUCAGAAGAACUUACCAGUGAGAGCAAAUCGAAAGAGGUGCCACAAUCAUCCAGAGCUGUGCCUAACGACUCUGCUUGUGAGCUAAAGAUCGCAAGCAUCCCUUCUGGUCAACAGUGUGUUGCAGAGCCUAUUGCCCAUGACGUGGAGCACCAUGUGAUCUCUACAGACUCAUUCACAGACAGAGAAUUAAGAGCAGAGUGUCAGUCAUCUAGACCUACAGCAGACAACUCUGAGCAUGAGGUGCAUUCUGUUGGAGGUCAGCGUGGCACUUCUUCUCUGAAAGAGUUAAUUGGUGAAGUUGGUGUCCAGUAUCAGGAGUUGUCACCCCAAGCGUUCUCAGAAGAACUUACCAGUGAGAGUAAAUCGAAAGAGGUGCCACAAUCAUCCAGAGCUGUGCCUAACGACUCUGCUUGUGAGUGUACAAUUCAUAGGCUGGUAUUUGAAUCGGUGAAACUUGACAAAUGCGGGAUAUGCCAUUCACCUUUGACAGCUAUCAGAUGGCACGGUCUAAGAUGCAAGCAAUGCCGUUGUGUGUGGCAUAAGAUCUGCCUCCAGACAUCUUCAGAAGACUGGGAUAUGUCCGACGGUGAUGUCUCAUCUGAUGAAGAAUACAUCCCAAAUUCUGCAUCAGAUUCAGAAAGCUCAGGAACAGAGUUGUCUAUUGAGUUACCUGGACCAUCAAAAAACUCCCAUGCUGCUAGCAUGCCUGAUUUAUGCGUUACUUUUGCUGAAAAAGAACAGACCAUGGAUGUUAAGAACAACUUUGAGCACAUUUUGAAUGAUCUUGAAACUACUGAUGAUCUUCAUCCCGACCAAGAACCAGACAGCUCAGAGUCAUGCCAGCAGAAAACAAAAGAUGCAUGUAGCGAAAAGAGUACUGUGGAUAUUAGCCAAAAUGAAUCCCCAACCAAGUCAACAAAAUUAAUCAAAAGCACAGUCAAUUUUUGUUUUGUGUGUGGAAAACCUCAAACAAAAUUUGCACGUCAUCUGGAGACGCAUGUAAAUGAAAAUGCUGAAGUCGCCCAGGUGCUUCAGUUACCCAAAUCAUCAAAGGACAGAAAAGUUCAUCUUGAAAGGUUACGAAACCUUGGUAACUUCAAGCACAACUCUGCUGUUAAAACCACAGGAUCAGGUUGUCUUAAAGUGAAAAGGAUCUCAAAAAAGAGCAGCAGCAGCGCUGAGACAUACGAGUACUGCUUAUACUGUAAGGGUAUGAUAUCCAGAAAAGAAGUUUCUCGGCAUAUGAAAAGAUGUGCUUUAAGACCAGAGAAUAAUGCUGAAGAGAAGCUGAAAGAUAGAGUCUUUGGUAUAGCAUCUACUCAAUCCACAAUGUCUCAGCCAAUUUCAAGUGAACUCUACUCAGUACUGGGCAAGAUGCACAAGGAUGAUGUGUCUAGUGCAAUAAGGAAUGAUCAUUAUAUUAUGCAGUUGGCUCAGUCUCUUUUUAAUAAGCAUGGAAGUGACAGAUCAAAGCAUGAGUAUAUAAGACAGAAAGUAAGGGAACUUGGGAGAUUACUUGUGACUUUGCGUCACACAACAAGAAUCCAUAAUAUGGAAGAGGCAAUAAAACCAGCCAACUUCUUUAUUCUUACUAAUGCUGUCAAGAGAGUUUCAGGUUUUGAUACUGAAACCAGCACAUUCAAAGCCCCAAGUUUGGCCCUGAAGCUUGGACAUUCUCUCAGAAAAAUAAGUGAUAUUAUCAUGUGUCGUGCUCUCAUGGAAGAGGAUCAAGAGGCGAUCGAUUCAAUCAGGAGGUUUCACACACUUCAUGAAACAAAGUGGUCUGAAUUAGUUUCCCAUUCAGCCUUAUCAAACCUGAGUGAGGCAAAAUACAACAAGGUCGACAGCCUUCCACUGACCAGAGAUGUUCAGAAGCUGCAGUUAUAUCUUGGUCAGCAAGUGGAAUCAGCUAGGGAGAAACUAGGUGAUAACCCAACAGCAGGAACUUAUGCAGCACUAGCAAAGGUGAUCCUUUGUCAAGUGAUUUUGUUCAAUAGGAGGAGGGAAGGUGAAGUAGCACGUAUGACUGUCAAAAAUUUUGAAGAUCGUGACAUGUCCAAACUAAACGAUGACAUCAGCUCUGGGCUUACAGAAGUUGAGAAAAGGCUUUGCCAACAGUUUGCCAGAGUGGAACUGAAGGGGAAAAAAGGACGAAAGGUGGCUGUGAUCCUGACUUCUGAUAUGACCAAUAACCUGUCACUCCUCGUUAGUAAGAGGAAAGAGUGCGGGGUAUCUGAAAACAAUAUGUACCUUUUCGCCAUUCCUUGUAGUGAUGGUCACUACAGAGGGCAGUUUGGUCAGUUUGCAGAUGCUUGCGGAGCUGAACAUCCUCAGAACCUCAGAUCAACUAACCUUCGCAAACAGAUUGCCACGAUAAGCCAAGUCAUGAACUUGAAAGAUAAUGAACUAGACCAGCUGGCCGAUUUCCUCGGCCAUGACAUUAGGGUCCAUAGAGAAUACUAUCGACUGCCCCAAUCAACAAUUCAGCUGGCUAAGAUCUCCAAGUUGCUCAUGGCCAUGGAGAAGGGAACUGUGAAGGAUAUUCAAGGAAAAACUCUGGAUGAAAUUGGUGAUGACAUAGAUGGGAUGGCUACUGGAUCACAGCAACUCCCUGAUGCUUCCACAUUGCGAGGUACUGAAAUUAUUGUAUUC
ensembl:lncRNA